GACGAACGCUGGCGGUAUGCUUAACACAUGCAAGUCGAACGAGACGGGAUGGAAGGAGCCUUCGGGUGACGGAAAUCCUAGAAAGUGGCGAACGGGUGAGUAACGCGUGGGUAACCUGCCCUAUGGAAAGGAAUAGCCUCGGGAAACUGGGAGUAAUGCCUUAUAAUAUACAGAAGUCGCAUGGCUUUUGUAUUAAACGCUCCGGUGCCAUAGGAUGGACCCGCGUCCCAUUAGCUAGUUGGUGAGAUAACAGCCCACCAAGGCGACGAUGGGUAACCGGUCUGAGAGGGCGAACGGUCACACUGGAACUGAGACGCGGUCCAGACUCCUACGGGAGGCAGCAGUGGGGAAUAUUGCGCAAUGGGGGCAACCCUGACGCAGCAAUACCGCGUGAGUGAAGAAGGUUUCCGGAUCGUAAAGCUCUGUUAUUGGGGAAGAAAAAAGACGGUACCCAAGAAGAAAGUCCCGGCUAACUACGUGCCAGCAGCCGCCGUAA
rnacentral:rRNA from 1 species